UGAGCCACCCAGAUGACAAGCACCAUGGUAGAAUAAAAAGAUUUUAGACAGUAAUUGGGAGCUGUAUGAAGAACUAUGAUCUCAGGGGCCUCUUAAAAAAGAAAACAGAUUAUCAGGCCAAGAAAGUGUGGUCACUACUGGAUACUAAGUGACUGAAAAGUUCAUUGAGCUUCGUGUUCCAUGCCACCCAUCCAACCCUCUCAAAAGACAAAAACUAAGGAAUGAGUUGUUAGAACAGAAGAAGAAGCUUUUGAGGAUGACACCGUGCAGAUGUGCAGAUGAAUCAGAAAGUACCAGAAGUGCCUGACAGUUACUUCAGCCUCAUUAUAAUGCUAAAAUCCCCCUCUGAAUAUUCACUCCAAGCCCUAAUAAAAGGAUCCUGCUUCCCUGUGUUUGGGAAGUAAUGGCUUUGCAAAUUA